rnacentral:rRNA from 1 species
UACGUAGGGUGCGAGCGUUAAUCGGAAUUACUGGGCGUAAAGCGUGCGCAGGCGGUUCUAUAAGACAGAUGUGAAAUCCCCGGGCUCAACCUGGGAACUGCAUUUGUGACUGUAGAGCUGGAGUACGGCAGAGGGGGAUGGAAUUCCGCGUGUAGCAGUGAAAUGCGUAGAUAUGCGGAGGAACACCGAUGGCGAAGGCAAUCCCCUAGGCCUGUACUGACGCUCAUGCACGAAAGCGUGGGGAGCAAACAGG